UACGGGGGGGGCAAGCGUUGUUCGGAUUCAUUGGGCGUAAAGGGUGCGUAGGCGGUCGGGUAAGUCGGAUGUGAAAUCUCAGGGCUCAACCCUGAAACUGCAUUCGAUACUGCCUGGCUAGGGUACUGGAGAGGAGACUGGAAUUUACGGUGUAGCAGUGAAAUGCGUAGAUAUCGUAAGGAAGACCAGUGGCGAAGGCGAGUCUCUGGACAGUUACCGACGCUGAGGCACGAAGGCCAGGGGAGCAAACGGG
rnacentral:rRNA from 1 species